UCCGAAUGGGGCAACCCACCCGCAAGGGUAUCAUGAUCUGAAUACAUAGGGUUAUGAGGCGAACCCGGGGAACUGAAACAUCUCAGUACCUGGAGGAAAAGACAUCAAACGAGAUUCCGCUAGUAGUGGCGAGCGAACGCGGAGCAGGCCAGUAGUUUUUGAAGAAGAAGCAGAAGGAUCUGGAAAGGUCCGCCAUAGUGGGUGAUAGCCCCGUAUGCGUAGUGUCUUUGAGAACUCUUGAGUAGGGCGGGGCACGUGAAACCCUGUCUGAACAUGGGGGGACCACCCUCCAAGCCUAAAUACUCCCUAGUGACCGAUAGUGAACAAGUACCGUG
rnacentral:rRNA from 1 species